UACGAAGGGGGCUAGCGUUGCUCGGAAUACUGGGCGUAAAGCGUGCGCAGGCGGUGAUGUAAGACAGAUGUGAAAUCCCCGGGCUCAACCUGGGAACUGCAUUUGUGGCUGCAUCGCUGGAGUACGGCAGAGGGGGAUGGAAUUCCGCGUGUAGCAGUGAAAUGCGUAGAUAUGCGGAGGAACACCAGUGGCGAAGGCGGCUCACUGGCCCGGUACUGACGCUGAGGUGCGAAAGCGUGGGGAGCAAACAGG
rnacentral:rRNA from 1 species